rnacentral:rRNA from 1 species
UACAGAGGUCCCGAGCGUUGUUCGGAUUCAUUGGGCGUAAAGGGCGCGUAGGCGGCCAUGCGUGUCUUCCGUGAAAUCCCUCGGCUUAACUGAGGACGUGCGGAAGAAACUGCAAGGCUUGAGUCCGGGAGAGGGGGGUGGAAUUCCCAGUGUAGCGGUGAAAUGCGUAGAUAUUGGGAGGAACACCGGUGGCGAAGGCGGCCCCCUGGACCGGUACUGACGCUGAGGCGCGAAAGCGUGGGUAGCAAACGGG